GUCCUCAAAUUUACCUUGACAUUGGCAUCAUAGCUGGCAUUGUCAUUGUCACUGUGAUUGUCUUUGCAUUGAUAGGAAUGGCUGAUCAGGAGCAGGCUGGUACAACUACAAGUCAGGACUCAUUCUGUGCAGAAUGUUGCAACGACUGCUGGAAAUGUUGUAGAGGUUUUGUAUCCUGUUGUUGUACUGAAUCCCUCAACAUAGCUUGUGACAUAUGCUGCUGUCUAUUUUAAAUGGAAAAAUUCAUCAACAAUAACCGCUUCCCUCCUCCUUUGGAUGCUGUACACACUACAGUUAUUGUCAGUUGAUUGCCUGGGCUCACCUUUCAUUUCACAGAAUACGAAGUGUUUAUAUAUAAAUAAAAAUAAUAACAAUAAUAAUAACAAUAACAAUACAUUGUAUGUUAAGCACCUUUCAAAACACUCAAGGUCAUCUUACGCAAAAUAAGUAAAUGAUAAAAUAAUAGAAAAAAAAUACCCACCCCUCUCUUUUCACAUCAGAGAUAUCCCAUAUUC
ensembl:lncRNA